GAUGAACGCUGGCGGCGUGCCUAAUACAUGCAAGUCGAGCGAACGGACGAGAAGCUUGCUUCUCUGAUGUUAGCGGCGGACGGGUGAGUAACACGUGGAUACCCUACCUAUAAGACUGGGAUAACUUCGGGAAACCGGAGCUAAUACCGGAUAAUAUUUUGAACCGCAUGGUUCAAAAGUGAAAGACGGUCUUGCUGUCACUUAUAGAUGGAUCCGCGCUGCAUUAGCUAGUUGGUAAGGUAACGGCUUACCAAGGCAACGAUGCAUAGCCGACCUGAGAGGGUGAUCGGCCACCUUGGAACUGAGCCACGGUCCAGACUCCUACGGGAGGCAGCAGUCGGGAAUCUUCCGCAAUGGGCGAAAGCCUGACGGAGCAACGCCGCGUGAGUGAUGAAGGUCUUCGGAUCGUAAAACUCUGUUAUUAGGGAAGAACAUAUGUGUAAGUAACUGUGCACAUCUUGACGGUACCUAAUCAGAAAGCCACGGCUAACUACGUG
rnacentral:rRNA from 1 species